rnacentral:rRNA from 1 species
AUUGAACGCUGGCGGAAUGCCUUACACAUGCAAGUCGAACGGCAGCACGGGGGCAACCCUGGUGGCGAGUGGCGAACGGGUGAGUAAUACAUCGGAACGUGCCCAGUCGUGGGGGAUAACGUAGCGAAAGUUACGCUAAUACCGCAUACGAUCUACGGAUGAAAGCGGGGGACCGUAAGGCCUCGCGCGAUUGGAGCGGCCGAUGUCAGAUUAGGUAGUUGGUGAGGUAAAGGCUCACCAAGCCGACGAUCUGUAGCUGGUCUGAGAGGACGACCAGCCAACCUGGGACUGAGACAGGGCCAAGACUCCUACGGGAGGCAGCAGGGGGGAAUUUUGGACAAUGGGCGCAAGCCUGAUCCAGCCAUUCCGCGUGCAGGACGAAGGCCUUCGGGUUGUAAACUGCUUUUGUACGGAACGAAAAGGCUCUGGUUAAUACCUGGGGCUCAUGACGGUACCGUAAGAAUAAGCACCGGCUAACUACGUGCCAGCAGCCGCGGUAA